GAAGUAGAAUAGCUGGGAGAGU
rnacentral:miRNA from 1 species